rnacentral:rRNA from 1 species
GACGAACGCUGGCGGCGUGCUUAACACAUGCAAGUCGAACGGAAAGGCCCUGCUCUUGUGGGGUGCUCGAGUGGCGAACGGGUGAGUAACACGUGAGUAACCUGCCCUUGACUUUGGGAUAACUUCAGGAAACUGGGGCUAAUACCGGAUAGGAGCUCCUGCUGCAUGGUGGGGGUUGGAAAGUUUCGGCGGUUGGGGAUGGACUCGCGGCUUAUCAGCUUGUUGGUGAGGUAGUGGCUUACCAAGGCUUUGACGGGUAGCCGGCAUGAGAGGGUGACCGGCCACAUUGGGACUGAGAUACGGCCCAGACUGCUACGGGAGGCAGCAGUGGGGAAUAUUGCACAAUGGGCGGAAGCCUGAUGAAGAAACGCCGCGUGCGGGAUGACGGCCUUCGGGUUGUAAACCGCUUUGGCAGGUGACGAAGCGUGAGUGACGGUAAUGGGUAAAGAAGCAACGGCUAACUACGUG